ACCGACCCAUGAGUGGGGGAUAUCGGGCCGAAAGGCGCGGCAAUCCCGCAUACGCGGCCGCCAUUGCGAUGGCGGUCGGAAAGUUUCGUAAGAAACGCUCGUGGACGGGCUCGCGGCCCAUUAGCUAGUUGGGGGGGUAAUGGCCUCCCAAGGCUCCGAUGGGUACCGGCCUGAGAAGGUGACUGGCCACACUGGGACUGAAACACGGCCCAGACUCCUACGGGAGGCAGCAGUAGGGAAUCUUCCCAAUGGGCGCAAGCCUGAUGGAGCAACGCCGCGUGAGUGAAGAANGCCUUCGGGUUGUAAAGCUCUGUCUGUCGGGACGAGGGCCCGGGCGUAAGCCCGGGCGGGACGGUACCGGCGAAGGAAGCCCCUGCAAACUACGUGCCAGCAGCCGCGGUAAGACGUAGGGGGCAAGCGUUGUCCGGAAUUACUGGGCGUAAAGGGCGUGUAGGCGGUGGCGUACGUAGCGGUUUUAAGCCGUCGGCUCACCCGACGGAGGGUCGCUAAACGGCGAGACUGGAGGGCAGGAGAGGUGCGUGGAACUCCUGGUGGAGCGGUGAAAUGCGUAGAGAUCAGGAAGAACACCCGUGGCGAAGGCGACGCACUGGCCUGUCCCUGACGCUGAGGCGCGACAGCGUGGGGAGCAAACGGGAUUACAUACCCCGGUAGUCCACGCCGUAAACGAUGGGUACUAGGUGUCGCCCGGGUCCACCGGGCGGUGCCGGAGCUAACGCACUAAGUACCCCGCCUGGGGAGUACGGCCGCAAGGUUGAAACUCAAAGGAAUUGACGGGGGCCCGCACAAGCAGUGGAGCAUGUGGUUUAAUUCGACGCAACGCGCAGAACCUUACCAGGACUAGACGGGAUCGUGAGCGCCGCGAAAGCCGCGGGCGGCUUCGGCCGAGCGAUCGUCAGGUGCUGCAUGGUUGUCGUCAACUCGUGUCGUGAGAUGUUGGGUUAAGUCCCGCAACGAGCGCAACCCCUGUCGUGUGUUGCCAGCGGUUCGGCCGGGCACUCACACGANGACAGCCGGGGAUGACCCGGAGGAAGGUGGGGAUGACGUCAAAUCCGCAUGGCCUUUAAGUCCUGGGCUACACACGUGCUACAAUGGCCGCGACAAUGGGUCGCUACCACGCGAGUCGAUGCUAACCUCCAAACGCGGUCCUAGUUCGGAUUGCAGGCUGCAACUCGCCUGCAUGAAGCCGGAAUUGCUAGUAAUCGCGGAUCAGCAUGCCGCGGUGAAUCCGUUCCCGGGCCUUGUACACACCGCCCGUCACACCACGAGAGUUGGCCACACCCGAAGCCGGGCCCGCGAACCGGUUCGCCGGACNCGGCCGUCGAAGGUGGGGUUUGUGAUUGGGGUGAAGUCGUAACAAGGUAA
rnacentral:rRNA from 1 species